AUUGAACGCUGGCGGCAGGCCUAACACAUGCAAGUCGAGCGGAUGAAGGGAGCUUGCUCCUGGAUUCAGCGGCGGACGGGUGAGUAAUGCCUAGGAAUCUGCCUGGUAGCGGGGGAUAACGUCCGGAAACGGGCGCUAAUACCGCAUACGUCCUGAGGGAGAAAGUGGGGGAUCUUCGGACCUCACGCUAUCACAUGAGCCUAGGUCGGAUUAGCUAGUUGGUGGGGUAAAGGCCUACCAAGGCGACGAUCCGUAACUGGUCUGAGAGGAUGUUCAGUCAAACUAGAACUGAGACACGGUCCAGACUCCUACGGGAGGCAGCAGUGGGGAAUAUUGGACAAUGGGCGAAAGCCUGAUCCAGCCAUGCCGCGUGUGUGAAGAAGGUCUUCGGAUUGUAAAGAACUUUAAGUUGGGAGGAAGGGCAGUAAGUUAAUACCUUGCUGUUUUGACGUUACCAACAGAAUAAGCACCGGCUAACUUCGUG
rnacentral:rRNA from 1 species